rfam:Nelumbo nucifera unplaced genomic scaffold scaffold00339, whole genome shotgun sequence
AGACCACGUUGAGGACACUUCCUAAGCAGUUCCUUAAAUCUCUCCCACAACUCAUAUAAUGUUUCAUUAUCAAAUUAAGAAAAAGUUGUUACGUCAUUCCUUAAUUU